rnacentral:rRNA from 1 species
CUACGGGGCGCAGCAGUGAGGAAUUUUGCGCAAUGGGGGAAACCCUGACGCAGCAACGCCGCGUGAGCGAAGAAGGCCCUCGGGUCGUAAAGCUCUGUCAAGUGGGAAAAAAGCCUUUUGGUUAAUAACCAAGAGGUGUGAUGGUACCACUGGAGGAAGCACCGGCUAACUCCGUGCCAGCAGCCGCGGUAAUACGGAGGGUGCAAGCGUUGUUCGGAAUUACUGGGCGUAAAGCGCGUGCAGGCGGUUUGGUAAGUCAGAUGUGAAAGCCCUGGGCUCAACCCGGGAAGUGCAUUUGAAACUGCCUUUCUUGAGUAUGGGAGAGGAGAGUGGAAUUCCCAGUGUAGAGGUGAAAUUCGUAGAUAUUGGGAGGAACGCCCGUGGCGAAGGCGACUCUCUGGACCAAUACUGACGCUGAGACGCGAAAGCGUGGGGAGCAAACAGGAUUAGAUACCCCUGUAGUC